AACGAACGCUGGCGGCGCGUCUUAAGCAUGCAAGUCGGGCGGCAAGGAGGAGCAAUCCUCCCUAGAGCGGCGGACUGGUGAGUAACGCGUGGGUGACCUACCCUUUGGUUGGGGAUAGCCAUUAGAAAUAGUGGGUAAUACCGAAUACGUUUACCGGGUUCUGACCUGGUAAGGAAAGGAGCUUCGGCUCCGCCGAAGGAUGGGCCCGCGUCCCAUUAGGUAGUUGGUGAGGUAAAGGCCCACCAAGCCCGUGAUGGGUAGCCGGCCUGAGAGGGUGAUCGGCCACAUUGGGACUGAGAUACGGCCCAAACUCCUACGGGAGGCAGCAGCUAAGAAUAUUCCGCAAUGGACGAAAGUCUGACGGAGCGACGCCGCGUGGAUGAUGAAGGCCGAAAGGUUGUAAAAUCCUUUUGCCACUGAAGAAUAAGUAUGGGAGGUAAUGCCCGUAUGAUGACGUUAGGUGGUGAAUAAGCCCCGGCUAAUUACGUGCCGGCAGCCGCGGUAACACGUAAGGGGCAAGCGUUGUUCGGAAUUAUUGGGCGUAAAGGGCGCGUAGGCGGUUUAGUAAGCCUGGUGUGAAAGCCCACAGCUUAACUGUGGGACUGCAUUGGGAACUGCUUUACUAGAGUCAUGGAGGGGAAGUUGGAAUUCC
rnacentral:rRNA from 1 species